AUUGAACGCUGGCGGCAGGCCUAACACAUGCAAGUCGAACGAGUGGCGGACGGGUGAGUAAUGUCUGGGAAACUGCCUGAUGGAGGGGGAUAACUUCUGGAAACGGUAGCUAAUACCGCAUACCCUCAGAUGUGCCCCGAUGGGCUUAGCUAGUUGGUGGGGUAACGGCUCACCAAGGCGACGAUCCCUAGCUGGUUUGAGAGGAGGACCAGCCACACUGGAACUGUGGCACGGUACAGACUCCUACGGGAGCGAGCAGUGGGGAAAAUUGCACAAUGGGCGCAAGCCUGAUGCAGCCAUGCCGCGUGUAUGAAGAGGGCCUUCGGGUUGUAAAGUACUUUAAGCGGGGAGGCGUUACCCGCAGAAGAAGCACCGGCUAACUCCGUGCCAGCAGCCGCGGUAAUAC
rnacentral:rRNA from 1 species